rnacentral:rRNA from 1 species
AGAGUUUGAUCAUGGCUCAGAUUGAACGCUGGCGGUAUGCUUAACACAUGCAAGUCGAACGGUAACAGCAGAGCUUGCUCUGGCUGACGAGUGGCGGACGGGUGCGUAACGCGUAGGAAUCUGCCUAUUAGUGGGGGACAACCUGGUGAAAACCAGGCUAAUACCGCAUACGCCCUACGGGGGAAAGCAGGGGAUCUUCGGACCUUGCGCUAAUAGAUGAGCCUGCGUUAGAUUAGCUAGUUGGUGAGGUAAUGGCUCACCAAGGCGACGAUCUAUAGCUGGUCUGAGAGGACGAUCAGCCACACUGGGACAGAGACACGGCCCAGACUCCUACGGGAGGCAGCAGUGGGGAAUAUUGGACAAUGGGCGAAAGCCUGAUCCAGCAAUACCGCGUGUGUGAAGAAGGCCUGAGGGUUGUAAAGCACUUUCAAUUGAGAGGAAAACAGGCAGGUUAAUAUCCUGUCUCUUGACAUUACCUUUAGAAGAAGCACCGGCUAACUCCGUGCCAGCAGCCGC